rnacentral:rRNA from 1 species
UACGUAGGGUGCGAGCGUUGUCCGGAAUUAUUGGGCGUAAAGGGCUCGUAGGCGGUUUGUCGCGUCGGGAGUGAAAACCAGGUGCUUAACACCUGGCUUGCUUUCGAUACGGGCAGACUAGAGGUAUGCAGGGGAGAACGGAAUUCCUGGUGUAGCGGUGAAAUGCGCAGAUAUCAGGAGGAACACCGGUGGCGAAGGCGGGUCUCUGGACAGUUCCUGACGCUGAGGCACGAAGGUCAGGGGAGCAAACGGG